rnacentral:rRNA from 1 species
GUCUGUGUGAUAAUAUUAUAUUUAGUUUGGCCUGCCCACUGAAGUUUAAAGGGCUGCGGUAAUUUGACCGUGCAAAGGUAGCAUAAUCAAUAGUCUUUUAAUUGAAGGCUUGGAUGAAAGGUUUGACAGAGGAAAAGCUGUCUUGUUAAUUAUUGUUGAAUUUAACGUUUGUGUGAAAAGGCAUUAAUAAUUUAAAGGGACGAUAAGACCCUAUAAAACUUUACAUAUUAAUAUUGUUUAGUGGAAUUGGUUAUUAAUUAUUAAGUAUAUAUUUUUGUUUUGCUGGGGCGGCAUGAAUAUAAAAAUUAACUGUUUUAAGUAUAUAAUACAUAUUUGUAGUUAUGGUCCUCCACUGGAGAGAUAAGAGUAAGUUACUUUAGGGAUAACAGCAUAAUUUCUUCUGAGAGUUCAUAUCGAAGAAGGUAGUUGUGACCUCGAUGUUGAAUUAAAUUUUCUUUUAGGUGCAGGAGUUUAAAUAGAAAGUCUGUUCGACUUGUAAGUAUUU